rnacentral:rRNA from 1 species
AUUGAACGCUGGCGGCAGGCCUAACACAUGCAAGUCGAGCGCGCGGCGGACGGGUGAGUAAUGUCUGGGAAACUGCCUGAUGGAGGGGGAUAACUACUGGAAACGGUAGCUAAUACCGCAUACCAUCAGAUGUGCCCAGAUGGGAUUAGCUAGUAGGUGGGGUAAUGGCUCCCCUAGGCGACGAUCCCUAGCUGGUCUGAGAGGAUGACCAGCAAACAUGGAACUGAGCAACGGUCCAAAAUCCGAAGGGAGGCAGCAGUGGAGAAUAUUGCACAAUGGGCGCAAGCCUGAUGGAGCCAUGCCGCGUGUGUGAAGAAGACCUUCGGGUUGGAAAGCACUUUCAGCGGGGAGGCGUUACCCGCAGAAGACGCACCGGCUAACUCCGUGCCAGCAGCCGCGGUAAUAC